rnacentral:rRNA from 1 species
AGCAGCCGCGGUAAUUCCAGCUCCAAUAGCGUAUAUUAAAGUUGUUGCAGUUAAAAAGCUCGUAGUUGAAUUUCGGGGUUAGCAGGUCGGUCGUGCCAUCGGUAUGAACUGGUCUCGCUGAUCCCUCCCUCUUGACGAACUGUGAUGCCAUUAAUUUGGUGUCGCAGGGAAUCAGGACUGUUACUUUAGAAAAAUUAGAGUUAGUUUAAAGCAGGCUCACGCUUAGAAUACAUUUAGCAUGGAAUAAUAGAAAUAGGACGUUUGAUCCUUAUUUUGUUGGCUUCUAGGAUUGACGUAAUGAUUAAUAGGGAUAGGUUGGGGGCAUUAGUAUUCAAUUGUCAGAGGUAGAAAUUUCUUGGAUUUAUUGAAGACUAACUACUGCGAAAGCAUUUGCCAAGGAUGUUUUCAUUAAUCAAGAACGAAAGUUAGGGGAUCGAAGACGAUCAGAUACCGUCGUAGUCUUAACCAUAAACUAUGCCGACUAGGGAUCGGAUGAUGUUUAAUUUUUUAAUGUA